CCAGGCUGGAUGACGACACCUCCCUGCACUGGAAGGAAGCACGGGAGGUACAGAGCAUUCCCACCUGAAACUGACUGUGUAUGUUUGGGGACUUGGGACCCCCACAACCCCUGGACGGAUCCAGAGGAGGACCAACACUUUUGACUGCAACCAUCACUUCAACAGGAUGGCAGUCACCACUUGAUAGGACUGCGACCACCACCUUGGCCAACAGGAUGCCAGGUCUUCAGGAGCCUUGCUUUGUCAGAUGUACUGGAUACCCCUCCAUGUGAAAACCAACCGUAACCUGCAAUCUGCUGUCAAAGGGAUCAAGAAAAAUGGAUUAGUGAUAUCAGUGGCUUCAUACCAUUUGACUGCCUUUGACCCCAGUUCCCAUUGGAGUUCUAAUACAUUUGAUAGGGCACUGUGGCACUUUGGCAUCAUUCAAGACAUGGCAGUCCGCUGUUAGCCUCCACUUUCUGUUACAUUUUUG